AUUGAACGCUGGCGGCAGGCUUAACACAUGCAAGUCGAGCGGAGAGAGGUAGCUUGCUACUGAUCUUAGCGGCGGACGGGUGAGUAAUGCUUAGGAAUCUGCCUAUUAGUGGGGGACAACAUUUCGAAAGGAAUGCUAAUACCGCAUACGUCCUACGGGAGAAAGCAGGGGAUCUUCGGACCUUGCGCUAAUAGAUGAGCCUAAGUCGGAUUAGCUAGUUGGUGGGGUAAAGGCCUACCAAGGCUACGAUCCGUAACUGGUCUGAGAGGAUGAUCAGUCACACUGGAACUGAGACACGGUCCAGACUCCUACGGGAGGCAGCAGUGGGGAAUAUUGGACAAUGGGCGAAAGCCUGAUCCAGCCAUGCCGCGUGUGUGAAGAAGGUCUUCGGAUUGUAAAGCACUUUAAGUUGGGAGGAAGGGCGUUUGGCUAAUAUCCAGGCGUUUUAACGUUACCAACAGAAUAAGCACCGGCUAACUUCGUGCCAGCCGCCGCCGUAACAC
rnacentral:rRNA from 1 species